rnacentral:lncRNA from 1 species
GGGUUUAAAAGAGAACUUUAAAUAAAAUUUUAAAUAUAAUUUAAACCAUAGUCUUGUACCAUAAAAGUCUAAACAGCACUAUUUAUUUAUUUAUUUUACUUCAGGUGCUUCCUGGGAGAGAUAACAAAGAGAAGAACCUAUAAAAGUGAGAUUGGCUACAACGACUAUGAAAUAUUGUAUCUGGACACACAAUCUAUAUGAUGGUUGAGAAAGGCUGGUAACCACACCCACUUCAACAAAAAUAGCUCCUGGUAACAACGUGCAUCAGAUGAAUUUUUUGUUAAUCUCCUGAAAGAGGAAGGAGAACAAAGGGAACGUGAUGGAGCCACAGAGAGAAGUGACAUGAGGACUAGGAUUUCACCACUAGAGAGUGUAUUUCUACUGUGCAACUUGACCUUUUCUGCUCCCAGAGAAACUGAUUCAAGCCACAGUCAGGUUCCAAGGCAUGGAUCGAGCUGGAUGACAUCUGGACUCUGAGGUAACCUUAGAUGAAUAUGCUGCUUCUGUGCUAGACCCAGUCUUCUUGGAAGCUGCUCCUCCAUAAAUGUUUUAAUAAAGUGCAGUAAGUGC